rnacentral:tRNA from 2 species
GCCGAAGUGGCGGAAUUGGCAGACGCACUAGAUUCAGGGUCUAGCGCCCGCAAGGGUGUCCGGGUUCAAAUCCCGGCUUCGGCACCA